AUGGAGAGAGCGGCAGUGUCCAUCGUGGGCAAGAUCGGGCAGGUGCUGGUGGACGAGCUCCAGGACAUCAGCGGCGUCGGCGAUAAAGUCGUCCACCUACGGGACGAGCUGGCGACCAUGAACGCUGCCCUCCGCAUCAUCUCCGAGGCAGAGCAGGGCUCCGUCGACCACCUCGUCCGGGAGUGGGAGAAGCAGGUGCUAGACCUCGCCUGCGACGCCGAGGACUGCACCGACACCUACUUGCUCCGCAUCGUCCGUCCGACUCCACGCCCGCCAAAUGGCUUCACCGGCAGUCAGCUCAUCUUCUCCUGGGCCGGAUAUCUGCUUGCCCGCGCCAAGCGCAUUGCCAGGUACCCGUACGACAAGUUUGUGCUGCAGCGCGCCCUCGCGGGUGACAUCAAGGACCUCCUGGCUCGUACCACCAUCGUCAGCGAACGGCGCGUUCGCUACGGCAUCGACCGGGCGGCACUACCGAGAGCUGCCUGCUUUGCACCUGUCUCGGCGGCGGCUGUCUCCGCGAAUGCUCUCCGCCGUGCCGACGACCCUAAUCAGUUUGUCGGCAUUGCGGAACAGGCCAACAACCUGACCAGGAAGAUCAAGGCGUCGGAGGGUCUCAAUGUGCUCUCCAUUGUGGGAUUUGGAGGGCUGGGGAAGACAACCCUGGCCAUGGAGUUGUGUCGGCAGCUGGAUGCGGACUUCCCCCGCCAAGCGGUGGUGUCUGUUUCACAAGCAUUCGAUGGCGAGAAGGACAUGAAGCGACUGCUACUACAAGUGCUCCAGCAGAUCCUCAAGGAGACACAGAAUGAUAAGCAAAAGGAGGAGCACCUGACGGAAGCAGAGUUCACGGAGGAUGCCAUGGAUGCAAGAAGCCAUGCCAACCCACUUCAAAUCACCGACAUGGAAGUGCAAGACUUGUCCAUCAAGAUUAAGGAGCUCCUCAGUUGCAAUAGGUGUCUUAUUGUGGUCGAUGAUGUAUGGAGCCUGCCAACCUGGGAAGCUAUCCGCAUCAGAUUGCUAGAAAAAAAUUGUGGCAGCAGAAUCAUUGUGACAACUCGAAUAGAAGCGGUGGCCAAGGCAGCUAGUGUCUCAGACGAAUUUGUCCAUCAUAUGAAGCCCCUGGAAUUAAAGGCUAGUGAGGAAUUGUUCGUGAAGAGAGUAUUUGGCUCCAUGGUUGCUUGCCCCGGUGGACUGAAAAAAGAAAUGAACACGAUUUUGAAAAAAUGUGGUGGGUUGCCGUUGGCGAUCAUUAGCAUCGCCAGCCUUCUGGCAAGCUAUAGGUCAGCUGAGGGCAUAGAGAUGUGGGAAAGAAUGUCUAGAUCAAUUGGUUCUCAGAUGGAAAGCCACCCUACCCUCGAGGGGAUGAAGCAAUUGAUUACACUCAGCUAUGACUACCUACCUCAUCAUCUCAAGGCUUCCAUGAUGUAUCUGAGCAUUUUCCCGGAGGAUUAUGUGAUUGCAAAGGAUAGGCUGCUAUAUAGAUGGAUUGCAGAAGGUUUGGUCACUGAGAAGCGGGGGUUGACUUUGUUGGAGGUUGCUGAAGAAUACUUGAACGAGCUGAUAAGUAGGAAUAUGAUUCAGCUAGACAAGUUCGUGUUCAGGGAAUGGGGAUAUGUCUCUAGAGAAGUGGAGGUAGUGGGGUGUCGGGUGCAUGACAUGAUCCUUGAAGUCAUGGUGUCCAAAUCCCAGGAGUAUAACUUUGUUAGCUUGGUAGGGCAGCAAUACGGAAGAAUACCACAUGAAUAUGGUAAGGUUCGCCGCCUCUCCAUCCAUGAUAACGACCAUGGCAAGCAGGGGGCCAAGAAAGUUGAGAAGCAUCAUGCGAGGCAUGGCACUGAGGCAAUGAAGCUAAAACAUGUCCGGUCACUGACCACAUUUCAGCAAGAUGGCCUCGGCAAGCUACUUGAUCGUCUAGGCGAGUUCAGAUUGUUGAGGGUGCUUGAUCAAACGCAGGGAACCGCCUGUUCAGAGGUCCGCCCUCGACGCACCAGUUGUCAAAGCCAGAAGGCUAUCCGAGCUCCGUCCCCAGGUGUGACGCACAGGAUAGGUCGCGGUAGAGGGGGAGCAGCAUCGCAAGCGUUCUCCAGAUGGCCAACGUAG
rnacentral:rRNA from 1 species